rnacentral:lncRNA from 1 species
UAUAAACAAGUAAAUCAUCAAUUAACAUUGUAAUAAGGCCAACAUGGCUUCAUUUACCCAUGAAAGCCAAAAUUUGUUGCGUAAGCAUAAACAAAAUUAGCACAACAAAAGAACGGCGAUUGAAUGUCUUGUCAAGCCCAACCCAUCUUUCUCCUUAAAAUCCAAGUAUUAAGGAGAGGAGAACAUAAGCCUUAUAGAUAGCAUAGAGGGGCCAAACACACCUCCUGGACCACAGCAGCCGGACACUCGGCACACUUGACAACUGACCCAACUUUUGACGACAGGUCCAACCUUACUUUGAUACCACUUGUCAGGCCCAUCCCAUCUUUCUCCUUCAAAUUCAGGUAUUAAGGAGAGGGGAACAUAAGCCUUAUAGACAGCAUAGAAGGGCCAAACACCCCCCCUGAACCACAGCAGCCGAACACUCGGCACGCUUGACAACUGGCCCAACUUUUGACGACAUGCCCAACCUUGCACUAAUACCACUUGUCAGGCCCAACCCAUUUUUCUUCUUAAAACCCAAGUAUUAAGGAGAGGAGAACAUGAACCUUGUAGACAGCAUAGAGGGGCCAAACACAACCCCUGGACCACAGCAACCGGACACUCGACACGCUUGACAACUGGCCCAACUUUUGAUGACAGGCCCAACCUUACUCUAAUACCAAGUUGAAAUGAAUAGAAAAAGGAUUUAUAGUAUAUUGAGAUUGAGAUCAUAAAUAUUUAUACACAAAAUAAAGAAAGUGAGGGGGAACAUGAUCCAUAAUUUAGGCUAAAAGAAAGGGGACAUGAUCCAUAAUUUAUGCCCUAAAUUGUGCCAUAAUAUAUGGUAUCAGAGCAAGGUUGCUCUUGGUCAGCCUCCUAGGCUUCCGCUGUUUAGCCGUCGCCAGAUGCAACCCCUGCUGCCUUCCUGCAGCCCCUUACAGCCAAUUUCCAGCCCCCCUGCUACCUCCUAGAACUUCCUGCAACCUCAUGCAUCCUUCCUGCAGCCUUCCUGUAGCCCUUUUGCAGUCCCCUAUUGCCUAAUGCAACAUCUUGCAGCUUCUUGCAAUCUGCGACCUCACAUAGCCUUUGUCGUCGAUAUCUUGAGGCCUCUUGCUGCCUCGCACAGCCUGCAGCCUCGUAUAGCCUUUGCCAUCGAUAUUUCGAUGCCUUUGUCCACUAGGGUCUUCCGGUUUGUUCCGUCUCCGCUUCAGUCCUCUAUUGUCAAGCUAAAAGCUUGAUUGGUAUCUCCUCUCAGCUUGAGGGGUAGUGUUGGAAAUAAGGAUUGAUUAGAAUAUAUUGUGCCAUACAUUAUGGCACAAUUUAGGGCUAAUUAGGGAUCAUGUCCCUUAAUCUUAGGCCGAAAUUAGGAAUCAUGUCCUUACUUUUAGCCUAAAUUAGGGAUCAUGUCCCCCUCACUUUCUUUACUCGUGUAUAAAAUUUACUUAUGAUCUCAAUUCUCAAUUUAUACUAAAAACUUAUUCUUAUUUCGGUUCAACUCUAAAUGUGUAAUAUCCUUUAUUUUUGUAACAAGUAUCACCUUUUCUAGUUAGAUUUAUUUAAUUUGGGUAUUCAACCGGAAUUUAAUAAAAAAUAUUGUUAAAAAGAGUCAAGGGGUGCAACGUAAAACCAAUUGGCUAUAAGUAAAGUAGCAUCUAGAUUAUGUAUGCUAAGUUUGGGUGGCUUAAGUAAGCGAUAUAGAACUAACACUUCUAACAAUUAUAAGAUCUAAUUAUUGUAUUUUAAAAGAUGAGUAAAUUAAAUAAGGAGAACAAUUAACCGAAAUGUGAAGAUUUCAGGAAACACGUGGAGGAGCCAAGAGACACGGGGAAUAGUCAACUAAAACGGUGUUCUCAUGCUAUAUAUUGCAUCAUGCAGUAUAUAGUUUCCGUCUUAUUGCAGCUUUGAAGUAAUUUGCAAAACUUACAAGUUAAAAGACAAUAUUUUUCUUUGAAUGACACUGAGGAGAAAAGAAUCAGGAUUUCAGAUAUCAAUUAAAGUCACCGGAUAAAUACCACAUAUCUCAUAGCCAUAACAACACUAUGAAUAGUCAUGUAAGGAAUAUUUGCUAUUUUUUUAGGAACGGUUGAAAGGAUCAAAGAUCAUAAUCAAUAGCAUACCAGCUUUGCAUAUCCAAAAAAAAUAAAAAUAAAUAUAAAACAACACAAAAUCUUUCAAACCAUUACAAAUUGGAAAGCCCUCAGAUCUCAUAGCUGACAUAAUUCAUUGAUGGUUAAAGUCUAUGGUUAGUCAUAGGAAGCCACUCCACAACUAAAUAAUAAUAAUAAUAAUAGUAGAAGAAGAUGAUGAUGAUGUUGCUGCUGUUGAUGAUGAUAAUAAUGAUGAUGGGGAGGCUUCCAAUGAAAACCAUAGCAACCACUCCACAAGAAUGAGUUCUCCUUCAUCGGGUAUCAAAGUUUUUCACCCAUUUAAGAGUAAAACCAAAAACCAACAUAAGGAUAAUUGCAACACGAAGCAUCAACUUUAGAUAAGAAAUUCAGCAAAAGAAAAAAUAAUGGCAAAAUUAAGAUACUUUUGAAAGGAUGAGUAGCUUUCUAUGCUGAAUGUCCAUCAAUAACAGCAUAAAAUAAAUUGAAUAUAACUAUUCUAACACCAUAAAAUAACUCCGCAAGACAUUUUAAUAUGUACGCACCCUCCAUUAAUAUCCUAGCAAUUAUUUGCAUAAAAAAUUGUAUAUAACUGGAGAGCAAACGAGGAGAUGAAUAAUCCAGUGCCAGAUGCAGAAAAAUAUUCAAUUUUACUUGAUGCCUUACCAUGAAGGUAGAUUAUAAAAUCAUCAAAAAUUACCUCAAAUCUAGAAGCCAACUUUUAUUCCAGACUAAAACAAAUGUCCUAUAGCAUCAAGAAAUGAAGAAUUACGGAUAGUGGAAGUACAAAAUUAAAAUCCUUAUAACUUGCUCCUUACAAAGAUAGCUUCAGCCAUAAUGCAAGAGUCAACACAAAAGGGUUCUCAUACAAUAUAUUAUUGUUAUAGUCACUAGACAAUUCCAAGCAAGGUUAGAAAUAUCAUGCAAAUGUCAUUUUCCCUGAUCAGGUAAACUGGAUAACGCUGCUCAAGAAUUUGAGAAACUUACCCAUGUAAAAACACUAUUGUGUUCGAAUGACCCUGAAAAAAAGAACAAUGAUUUCAGUUCUCAUAGAUGGAAGAUAAUAAAACAAUCCAAAAUUACCUCAAACCUCAAAUCCGAAUUUAUACGGCCUUCACAAAUUAGCAGUUGAUAAAACAUUGAAUAUAUAGGCAUUUAGAUCUAGUAUCCAAGCCCAAAUAGUGGAAUAGUUAAUCGGGUGGUCCACAUUCUCUUAAUGGAACAACUAGUGACUGCGAAAAAUGAAACUCAGUUACUAUUAGCUACAUUAGUUUAUUAUUCAAAAAUAAAUUUUCCACAACACAUUAACGAAGCCAGAAAAAUUUUGCGAAGCACGAAUAUGGACACGCAGACAACUAAAUCAAACGAAUUGCAAAGUUCUUUUAGUAUGUCUUUCAUGGCUCGUUAACCUACUUUGAUUAUUGUACUUUUUAUCUAAACAACACCUACAAACACAGACAUUGACAUGGCCAAGGACACGCACGUCCAGAGGAAUGACACUAAUGUCCAUUAUAUGUCCCCAACGUGUUCGAUAAAAUAAAAUAAAAAGUAAUGGACAUACUGAUGUGUCCGAGAGUGUUCGAGGAGUGCCAGUGUCAGUUACAACAACUAAUUUCUAGUGUGCGUACUUCUUAGGAAUUUAGAAUAAAACUGCUCAUUACCAACUUGUAAAGCAAAGUAGCCAAACAAAUCAGAAAUUGAGAAUUAACAGCGAUAAAAUGAAAGAAAAAAAAAUUAAUUUUAGAAAAACUCCAGUGUCCAAUUUCUGCACCGGCAAAAAAAGGAACAAGAGGGAAUCCAAAGACCUAAAAAAAUCUUACUUUCUUCAUGAACAAAGCCCAAAGAAAUGUGCAUAUGCCGUCUAUAUAAGGCCAUAAAAUUUGUUAUGAUUACAAAACUACCUCAAAGUAUUGUUAUUCCCAUACCAGUCAACAAACUAAAUUGUAAUAAUAAACACCCAGAAAAUUAUAAAAGAGUAAGGGACAAAAUACACCAAAAUAGACUAAAAGAUAAACAAUAUGAAACAAUCUUAAUAUCUGAGCCCCAUUUUCCAACCAAAAUGGGACAUUCCUGCUUGAACCAAAUGGAUUUAAUAACUUUCGGCAUCGAUGAUAGCGGUGGUAGUAAAGUUUCGUCGUAAGAUCAUCAAACCUACCAAUAUAUUGGAAAUCACAUCAUCAUCAGGCAAUCUAGAAUCAUAUGUACAACAGAAUACAUAUGUUUAUCUGUCACACGACGGGGAGGGGGGGCUCAUCAUCCGCAAUCUAGAAUCAUAUGUACAACAGAAUACAUAUGUUUAUCUGUUGAAUCUGUGAGGAACAUACACAAGUUAAAUGUGUAAUGUUCAAAGGCCAAUAAUAAUAUAUCAAAUACCCAAAUUACUACAAUACAAUAAAAAAAGCUUUUUACCUUAAAAAACAUAACCAAACAAUGAAAAUGAAUACAACAAAUCAGCAUCAAACGUCAACAAUCCAACAUCCAACAGAACAUAUUAGUGAAAUUGUUGAAUCUAUCAGGACAUGCAUAUAAAUUAAAUGCAUAAUGUUCAGAGAUCAUUGCAAAUAUCAUCAUUCACCAAAUAUCCUAAUUACAAAAAACAAGAAAAACAUACAACUUUUAGCAAGAUCUAACCAAACAACGAACACAAAUCCCAUAAAUAAGCACUCGACGUCAAUAAUCCAACCUAAGUAAUAGAUGUGAACAUCCAAUAAUAGUUAACAAAGGCCCUCAGAUAUCAUUGAUGGUUUAUAUCCAUUAGCAGUCAUCAAAUGCCUUUACAUAUGCAGAUAGAUAGGUAGAUAGAUGGUUAUAGAGAGAGAUGAGACCGGUGAUUCUCGUGGUGAUGGAAAUAAAGGCGAGUGACAACUAAAGAACAUGGAACCACUUAAUACAUAUAGAUUUUUCCAUCAUCAGGCAAACACAUGCGAAUAAUGUGUAUAUUUGCAUUUACAUGUAAAUAGAUAAAUUUAAGAUGCACGUAUGAUCGGCAUUUUCAUGGUGGAGCCGCCAUGGGAGAGGAGUGAGUUGAUGAAGACGCUAGGGUAAUAUAAGGAUUGAGGAUUAUCUAUAGGGGGAUGGGAUUGUCCGGAAUACUUUUGGUUACAGUAUUAAAUAUCUGGAUUACCCUUGGAAUGGGCUUUCCUUAUGGUAUGUUUGGUAGGAGAGAAAACAGAACGAGAGAAAGGGAAAAAAAAAGAUUGUUUGAUAACACAUUUUUCAUUUUGUGUUUUUUGUUUUCAUUGAAUCUUUUUUUGAGAAACACUUAAAUAAACUAGUUUAGUGAACAUUUUUUAAAAAUUGUAGUCAGAAAAAUUAUCAAAAAAUAAAUUUCGUUUUAGAAAACAGUACAAAAAUGUUUUUGAAUUUUUGAAAAGUGCUUAUGCGCACACAUAAAAAAGAAAACGUUAUAAAAUCUAGGAGUUUUUUUCGAACAUUUCGUUCAUUUUGUUUUCAAGAAAACACAAAAAUAAAUAUAAAAAAAAACAAUUCCAAACAAACCACGAUUCUUGAAAGGAUGAUAUUAACAUAGAUCUUUCUUACGGAGUAUUAUAUAGGUGGUCAUACUAUUGUGCUUUCUCACUAUUUUUCCUUUUGGACACACCAAACUUUUUUAUUGAAUUGUUUUCGAGAUUGUUUUGAAAAAACAAUUCAAAGAAUAACUCAAUUUUUACCCGACACUAAAAGAUGUUUUUGGAAUUCUGAAUAAGGCUUGUACAAACAUCAAAGCUAUAUCCCAAGCAUAAGAAUUUCAUACUUUUGGAGCAUCAAGAUCUCAAAUGAAUCUACACCACAUUCUAGAAAAUGCUUAUAAAACAAGUGAAGUACACCCACUAAUAUAUUACCAAAAAAAGAAAAAGAACCUAAAAAUAGUUCAUUUACCAAAAUUUGCAACGAAUUAAUUCAAGUCUCACAAGCUGACUUGUGUGAGUGAAGCAUACCAUUAAAAUAAAAAUAUGCAAUUGGAUGAGAAAAAAUAAGGAAGGUGCAAGUAUUAAGAGUGUUUCUUCAUAGAGCUGACUUAAGUAAGCAUCAACUAAUGCCAAGUCUUAUAAAGAAUUAAAGAAGAGAGACCACACAACCAAAUAUGAAAAGUAAUGGAUAAAUUCAAACUUGUAGCAUACAACGGCAAUAAUAAUACAACCACAAUCACCAAGGGCUGGGUCUUACCACAAGAGGUCUCAACCAAUCUAAACCCCAUAUGUGUAAGUUCGAUCUAAUCCAUUAGACCUUGUUUCUAUUUCUUAUGCUAGCAAUCAUCACGGGUUAAGUUUUACCACAAUAGGCCUCAACCCAUUUAUCCAAAUCUUAUCACAAUAGGCUACAGUUCUAUUUCUUGUGCUAGCCCAAAUUGUAGCAUGUAUUUAGGCUUAGAUGCUAGGUCUAAAUCGGUUAACAGUUAGAAAUGAAGUGCUUGGUGAAUGCCUCUAAGAUCUCACAGCUUUAAGCAAAUUAUCAACAGUUUAGCAUCUCUAGGUCAAUAUUAUUUAUUAAAGAGCCUUUACAACACCAUUUAUAGGCAAUAAUAAUUAACUUGCCAAUGAGAAAAAGCUAAAUGAAAGCAGGCAGGAGGGAGAAAGACGUCGGCAGGACAAAAGAGCUUUUGUCCAAAAAUUACACUUUAAGUCCCUCAUUCUAUUAAGUGAAUCCCCUUUUAACUUUUGGAAAAUGAGGACAGGUGGUAGGGAACCCUAGAUCCACCUAACAAACAAAACACCAUCACAACCCUAGAUCCAACUAAGAAACAAAACACCAUCAAGCUGUAAGGAAGGACAUCCUCCGCCAAGGGCCAAUCACAAUUUGAGAGCAACAGGAUAUCGCUGAUACCUCCCCGUGUUAGGAGUUAAAAGGAGGUUUACUGAGGGACAUAAAAUGUAAUUUUUGGGCUGAGAGCAGUUUUAGGGACCAUGUCUUUCUCCCUCUCUCCCUCUAAUCUUCUCUCCCAGUUUACACCAUUUUAAGGGCUAGAACAAAAGUUCUUCUGUGCAACGAGAGCUUCGAUUUAGACCACACAAAAUUUUGUUUGGACCAAUUUGGAGGUUGGAAUUUUGGGAGUUUUUGCUAUUUUGAGGUAGGAUCUUAUUAAGUAAACUUGCUGAUACGGACUUAGUGUAGAUGUACCUUAAUCUAUGAUUUUGAAUAGUUAUGAAAAGUUGAAAACCUUGAUGGUAUUAACUCCUAGUUCAAGAAUGUGGAAUAUAAUGACUCGUAUGGGUUUAGUGAUUAAGGUGAUAGGCUAUGAGAGGCUAAAAGACCCCAAAAAAAACUGAAAGUGAUAGGCUUAUAGUAGACUGUAAAUAUCAUUUCUCCAAAAAUACAGUCUUUUUUUUCAAAUAUAACAUGUAAAAAAUAUCUUAAAGCAUAAUGGCCCUCUUUGUAAAGUUUUUCCUACUUAAAUUCCAUUACAUUUUAGUUAUUUAUAUCCAUCUUUUUCCCUCCUAGGGAGAACCUUGGAAGAAACAAUAGGGGAAAAAGUCGGAUCGCUAGUUUUUACCUUUCAGAUGUGUCCUGAUUCCUAUGUAUGUUCCAAUACAUUAAUCGCUAUAGUAAUAGUAAUACUUUUUCGUAACACUAAUUUAGAUUCAGCGAUAUUAUUCAAGAGCCAUAACACAACCACACGUAGAAUUAGAUAAUUAACUAAGCGAGGAGGUCUAUGUAUAUUAUCCAUGCAUAAAAAUUAAUGUGGUUUACAAUAUAGCACAAAAGUGCAAAACAACUAAAUAAUGUAGCGCUCAAGUGACUGCAUUUCCAUCAUUCACAAAUUUACCAUUUUUGAAAAUGAUAUAUCAAUAAUGUAGCGCUCAUGCCAUUGCGAUUUUGUGUCAUAAUAUAUCUAAAAUGUACUUCCUGGCAAUUAUUUACAUGAAAAAAUAUUGUAUAAUACUGGAGAGCAAAGGGGGAGAUGAAUAAUCCAGUGUCAGAUGCAGAAAAAUAUCCAAUUUCACUUGAUGCCUCACCAUGAAGGGUAUAUAAUAAAACCAUCAAAAAUUACCUCAAAUUUAAAAGCCAUAUUUCAGUCCAGACUCCACACUCAAUAAAUGUCAGUUCUUGACUAAUCACCUUCACACCUUCAUCUAUAGCAUCAAGAAAUGAGGAAUUACUGAUAGUAGAAAUACAAAAUCCCAAUAACUGUUCCGUAGGCAUUACCAAUAAAGUUUCAACCAUAAUGCAAGAGUUAAUACAAAAGAGUUCUUGUACAGUAUAUUAUUGGUGUUCUAAACGAGAUUAGAAAUAUCAUGCAAAUGUCACAUUUUCCAUGAUCAGGAAACUUAGGUAACGCAGCUCUCGAGUUCGAGGUACUUACACAUACAAAAACAAUGUUUUGUUUGCAUGCCACUGAAAAAAGAAUAAGGAUUUCAGUUCUCAUAGAUGGAAGAUAAUAAAACCAUACAAAAUUACCUCAAAUCCAGCUUUUGUACAGAUUUUAUAAAUGCCCAGUCUUCAUUUAUCAUACUCCACAUCUUCAAUAUAAGGUAUCAAGAGACAAUCACUGAUAGUAAAAAUCCAAGACUAAAGCGCACAUACUGACUGCCUCUUAUUGCUUCCACAUAAUGCAAUAUGCAACAUAGAAGGGUCCUCAUCCGGUAUAUUAUUUAUGUCCCUACUGAGACAUAAAUCCAAGCAAGAUUAGGAAUAUUAUGCCAUAACACAUUUUCUCUGAUCAGGCAAACUGGGAAGACAACUCUAAAGUCAAAAAAUUACGAGUAAAAAUGAUGUCCAUUUGAAGACCCCUGAGAUAAGAAUAAAAAAGCUAGAAUUCAUAAGUAGUCAUGUAAAAGAAUAUUUUCUAAUUUUUGGAGAAAAGAAUAUUAGGAUCAAAGAUCAACAUCAAUAGUAGCAUACCAACUUUCAAGGGCAAGUGGUAUCCAUUGGUUUCUGAGCCCUAAUGCCAGGGACUCAAUCCCCUCAGUUUCCAGCAUCCAAAAACAUCAAACACUAUAACAACACUUGAUGAGCUCUCACAUCUCAUAGCUAUCAUAAUUCCAUGUGGUUCAAGUCAUGGUUUAUCAUUAGAAGCCGCUCCCCUAAUUAAUAAGAAUAUGAACGCUUACAAUUAAAACCAAAAACAACCACUCCAUAGAAUGAGUUUUUCAUCAUCAGGCAUCAAAGCUAUUCCACAUGUGAAAAGUAAAAACAUUAUAGGAUAAUUGCAACAUGAAGCAAGGUACUUCAAAUAAAGAAUUCCGCCAAAGGAUAAAACAAUGUUGAAUUACGAGUUUUGAUCUGAUCACGUGGAGCUUUCUAUGCUGCAUUUCCAUUAAUAAAUGCACAAAAGAAAUCAUCAAAAUCCAGUGUACAGAUGAUAACACCAAUACUUGUAAUUUCUUCAGUUUAUUGUUGAAUGACAUACUAUUCUAAAACGAACUCUAAAUGAGAACAAGUAUAAUGGAAACCAGAAGUAGCCAUAUGGCACAGGUUGCAAAAUAAGCCACAUAACUGCAGGAUCUAAAUAGAACCACCAACGGUUAUCUCUAUUAUUCAGGUUAGUUUAAACAGUGGGUUGAAUUUGGCUUGGUCUAGAUAGGACUAGGAGGUCCAUUUGAAACAAAGUGACUAAUGAAAGCCCUCAGAUCUCAUUACUCUGAGACAAUAGUCAAUGGUUAGUUAGAAUAUAGGAUUCAUCAAAAGCCUUUGCACACCAUCAAACAAUGACGAAUUAAAAGGAUAAAUUGCACUGACACUCCCUGAGUUUGUGAAGGCAGAGGAUAUGGUCAUUUGUAAACGCUUGUGAUAAAUAGAAACCAUCAAACUGCUCAAUAGUCAAUACAAUAAGAUUUUCCAUCAUUGGGCAACCCAGGUACAAGAUCAUAAAAAUGAGAAAAAUUACACAGAGAGAGAAAAUAAAAAGAUAUCUAUAGUAGAAAUGGUUGAAACAAUGACAAAUGAAGGAAUAAAAUAAAAUAAGUAAAGAUGGGCAGUCACCAGAGCAUAGCUGAAAGAAAAGGCAAGUUGAUCUACAAGACAGGCAUAGCGCAAGAGAAUCUAGGGAUAAGGAGAUGCAAAGGACAUAAUUGCAUGGAUAGUGCUUUUUCAACAAUAUACUUAUGUUAAGUACUUUUUAGAUUCCUAUGUGCCUUAAUCUUUAUUAGGGUCCGUUUGAUUAGAAAGAGAAAGAUAAUGGAGAAAUGAUAGGAUCUGUUGAUUACAAAGAAAAACAAUAUGCGAAGUGAAAAUGUUAGAAAGUAACACAUUGACACACUUAAAAAAAAUCUCAACGUCACCACUAAGAUCAAAGUUACAAUGGGAGCAUGAAGAUCUUACAAAUUGUAAUUGGAUGUAAAUAACAGUAGAAGACUUGCAAUAUGGAUUAUGGGUAGUAGUGGAAUGCUAAAAUAACGAGACUAAGUUUCAUGGGAAAAUAAUAAGAUUUCCAUGUACAUUUCGUGGGAAACUAAAAUUAACUUUAUCAGUAAGUUUAAUUUCCACUAUUUUCAAGCACUUUUUUGCUAAGCAAACAAAACAAAAAAAAAACUUUCUUGCACUUUCCAUCGUUUUUUUGCAAAUCCAACGUAUCCACUGUGCCCUUUUUUAGGGGAUUAAAAAGAGGAGAUUGAAUUAGUUAUUUAUGAGACCUGUCUAUCCCACAUUUGGUUGCACGAUUUAACAAUGAAAUCGUGUAAUGAGAUAGAACAUUAUAUUCCAUGGAAGUGGAAUAAUUUCAUCCCGUAGGGAAGGUGGGAUAGAGUAGGAUAGGAUAAAAAUUAUAAACAAAAAUAUCAAGUGUACAAUAACACUCCAAUCCCAUCCCAUCUAAACAUAGGAUAUUUCUCUAUCCCCUUGUCUUGUCCGGCAAGCAAACAUAGCCUCAUUGAUAAUGAGGUCCAUAGUUGCCUUUGGUUCCAAUCACAAGAAUCAACAUACGUGCAAAAGUGGGAGAUAAUACUAUUUCUUCCAAACUCAUCGUAAGCGACAUUAUUGUGCAUAGGAUAUGAUCUUUAUGAUAUGUGCAAUGACUUGUUUGUUUUUUCAAUGCUACUCUUCUGGGACAUCUAAUUGUGUGUAAUUCUUUCUCAUUGGAACUAAUUUAAAGGAGCCGCAAACUAAUUGACUGACUUGGCCAUGAAUUAAAGAAUCUUCACCAAGGCAACUCAACAAGUAGCUUUUCUAACCUCAACCACUGAAGAAUCCCCUUCUAAAGAUGGUAGUGCGUGUGAAAUAACUGCAUGCAAAAAAUUGUUAGUUUGUAAUAGAUAAAAAAAGAAGUAUUUGCUUAAAAUGAAAUAAAAAUUAACUCGUAAAUUUUCACAUUGCCCAAGUAUCCUCAAAACAAUACCGACCAGCUAGCAUGAUUCAAAUCCUCUAAAAGAAACAUAAGCUCAUAGAUGCUGCUUUCAAAAGUUGGUUCCACAACAAAUUGCCUGGAGUUAUCAAGCUAAUAGGGUGAGGAGAAAAGAAGAUGCAGAUUAAAUUAGAACAUAGCAUGAACAAAAGACAAAAACAGACUGAAAGCUUAAUAAACUAGAAGGUUUGGAAAAGUAUACAUAAAGCAAAGCUCCAAAUUUGGAACCCAGCCCGUUGGCUAUCACUUUGUAAGUCUUACAAUACUAUAACCAAAAUAAAAGUUAGCUAUUAGCUCACACUUCGAAAGCCAUGUAUGCACAACCAAGCGAAGAACAAUCCAAUGGAGUUCGAUAUGUUCAAGGUUUCAGCCAACUAAACAAUAAAACCCACAUGCAAAUAUGCAAAAGCAUUCUUUGGAAGCCAUUACUGAUGUGUUUUUCUUCUAUAAUUCUCUAGAAUGAUUUUGCUUGCCAAAUAAAACAUGUCCAGACAAGAAAGCCAGAGCUUGGCUUUUUCACCAGCCAAACAAUAAAACCCACAGGCAAAUAUGCGAAGCAUUCUUCAGAAGCCAUUACUAAUGUAUUUUACUUCUAUAAUUCGAUGGAACACUUUUUUUGCCCAAUAAAACCUGUCCAGGUCAAUAAGAAAGCCAGAGCUUGGCUUCAAUACAAAGAAACCAACAUUUUGGUAAUGCUAAAAACCCACAUUUAAAUCUUUCUGCAUAUUAAUUUCACAGGAGGCUUGGCAACAGAUAAAACUGAAGGAACUAAUAGAGAGAUGAACUCGUGACGGGAAUGACCUCGACAAAAUAUUUGCAAAAUGAUAAGAGAAAAUUCUGAUUUCAUAGGCAUGGAAAUGAUGCUUUGGUGGGGAUUAGCAUGCAUGAAAAAAAAAUCUAAUUUCCAUUUCAUAUUUCUCUAGAAACAAGAAAUUGGAAUGAGAACACCUAGUCCGAGUUCAAAGAACAGAGAACAAAAGGGAAAAAAAUAGAACCUCUUUAUUGAGGGGGAUCGAGAUGGACUUAAAAGCAGACCAAUUCAGGGAAUUGCUUACAAGACCAGCUUCGAAAUUCAGAAUAUACCAAGAUCAUUCAGAGCUACCAUUUUUAAAAUAUAAAAAAAUAGGCAACUAGUUUAACACAGUAUUUUUCAUUUUUAGAAGGCAGCUAUAGCUACUGUAAAGUAAUCAAUAGGCAAUCACAAAAAAUUGUCAUGAGAAGCAAUUCAUAAUAUCUCUUGAACAAAUCAUCAAACGAGAUAAUGUAACCGAGAUAAUGUGUACCACAGACGGAUUAACUGCAACCAUGAAAUAUAAAGUGAUAACUGCAAAACACAUUACCUUAAUAAAACUUUUCAAAUCAAGCCCAAGGUCAAAAUUCAGAACAUAUUCUCAUUUUUCACAUUGGGUGUCCUGUUGCCACAUCCAAUGGACAGAUGCAAAUUAAUCAGAAUAGUUGUCUCUUCCAUUGGAGUCAAGACCCUCAGUCUGGCUACGCUCAAUCCUAUGAAAAAUUUGCCUCCCCUGGCGUUCUAACGCGUCUGUGAUCCAUACUUUACUGCUUCAAAAACUUGCCCAAUCAACCAAUUAGGUUGUCCCAGUUGGCAAGGCCCUAAUAACUCCAUAUGAAAAGUCAUGGAUUCGAGCCUCAAAGAGUGAACCAAUGGUUAAUUUUCCAUUCCUAAAAAGUAACCACGAUGUUUGUUUGCACGCCCCUGAAAAAACAAGUUUUUCAAAUCUCCAAUAGAUUCACCUAACAAUACCUAUAUCUCAUAGCUACAAUUAUGCAUGAAUAGUCAGGAAUAUCUUUCAAGACAACAUUUGAUAAACCCUCAGAUCGCAUAGCUAUCAUAAUUCAUAAUUUCAUUGUGAAGUAUAUGGUUUAUCAUUGAAAAGAAGAAGCAAGUUACUAUCACCGAACUGGGUGACCAAACCAAUCACAAAACAAACAAGACACAAGGAGUGGAUCCUUCAAUACAACCAACCCUUUUGUUUUGCCGAUGACCGAUUCAGUCAUCCAGUUUGGUGAUAAUAUCAUUGGCAAAGAAAUGACACGAUAAUGACAAUGAUGGGAAGGCUUCCAAUGAAAAUCAAAACAUCACUCCACAAUAAUGAGGCAUCCAUCAUUGGGCAUCAAAUCUUUUCAUUGAUUUAAAAGUAAAACUUCAGGAUAAUCACACAGCAUAAAGAAGCAAGUUUGAACCAAGAAUUCAGACAAAGGUGAAAAAACAAAAAUCACUUGUCAAAAGUCAGUUUGAAAAGUAUCAAAUGUAGCUUUUUAUGCGGGAUCUCCAUCAAUAACUACAAAAAAUAAGUUGAACAUACCUACUAUUUUAUCAGUUUAAAAUAGUCUCCACGUUAUUAGUUAGAUAGUAUGGGCAAUGAUCUUCAUUACAUCACAGCUCCACAAACGUAGCCCAAAGGAUUUUGAGUCGAGCAAAUGCCUCAAGUCGAAUUGCUUCACCACGCAUGAGAUCAUUUCUCAAUCAGACCAACCCAAACAAUCCAUAAUUUUCUAUUCUAAGAAACAAGAAGGUCUAGCAUCAAAACUUAUCAGUUUAUUAUCAAUUUAAACAAAGAUAAAAGUCGAGAGAAUGAAGAACUCGGUAAAAAACCUACGGAUGCCUAAGAGGGUACAAACAAGUAAAUCAUCAAUUAACAUUGUAACAAGACCAACAUGGAAUAAUUUAUCCAUGAAAGAUCAGCAUUUGUUGAGUAAGCAUAAAUAAAAGCAGUAUGGCAAACUGCAAAAAAUGAAAGCUGCUGAUACUUUUUAAAGGAUCAUCAACUUUCUAUGUUGCAUUUCCAUCAAUAGCUGUAAAAAAUAAAUUUAACAUAACUAUUCUAACACCAUAAAAUAACUCCAGAUGACAUGUUAAUACACACAUCUCCAAAGUAAAAAAGAAGAUAAGAAAACUACGGGUUUCUUCUCAUAACCAUAGGACCAGACUACAAGGCGCAAGCCUACUUAGCUCUCUCUUUUGGGAUCAAAACUUCAGAAUGCAUUUGAUUAGGUCUGGAUAGUAGUAGGUCACUGUUUACUACGGACUACAUCAGUAAACUGCUCAGAGCCCAGUGCAUAUAGCAUCAUUCACUAACAAACUAUUUUUGCAAUACUUAAGCUCAUGCACUUACAAUUUUAUGUAAGAACAUAUCUAAAAUGUAGUUCUAGCAAUUAUUUGCAUAAGAUAUUGUAUAAAACUGGAGAGCACAGGCGGUGAUGAAUAAUACAGUGUCAAAUGCAGAAAAAUAGUCAAUUUCACUUGAUGCCUCACCAUGAAGGCAGAUUAUAAAACCAUCAAAAAUUACCUCAAAUCUAAAAGCCAUCUUUUAGUCCAAACUUAAACAAAUUUUCGUUCUUGACAAAUCACCUUGCACAUCUUCAUAACAUCAAGAAAUGAAGAAUUAUUGAUAGUAGAAGUACUGUAAGGCCAUAAAGCUAGAGUCAGCACAAAAGGAUUCUCAUACAGUAUAUUAUUGUUUUAGUCACUGGGAUAAUCCCAAGCAAGGCUAGAAAUAUCAUGCAGAUGCCAUUUUCCCCAAUCAGGCAAAUUGGGUAACGCAGCUCAAAGAGUUUGAGAAACUUGCACAUACAAAAACACUUUUUGUUUGAAUGACCCUGAAAAAAGAAUAACAAUUUCAGGUCUCAUAGAUGGAAGAUAAUAAAAUCAUCCAAAAUUACCUCAAACCUCAAAUCCGGCUUUUGUACAGCCUUCGCAAAUUAGCAGUUGAUAAAAACAUCGAAUAUAUAGGCAUUUAGAUCUAGCAUCCAAGCCCAAAUAGUCCAAUGGUUAAUCAAGUGGUCCACAUUAUCCUAAUGAAACUAGUGAUUGCGAAAAAUGACUCUCAGUUACUAUUGGCUACAUUAGUUUAUUAUUCAAAAAUAAGUUUUCUAUAACACAUUAACAAAGUUAGAAGAAUUUAACUAAAAAGCACGGAUACGGACACGGACACAAUACGAUACGGACAUGCAAAUAGUUAUCUAAAAAUUACGAUACUGACACACAAACACCCAAGUCAAAUGAAUUGCAAAGUCCUUUUAUUAAUACUCUCAUGACUCCUUAAACUUCUCUCAUUGCUGUACUUUUUAUCUUAAAAGCACAUACGGACAUGGACAUAGCCACAGACACGCAUGUCCGGAGGAAUGACACGAAUAGCCUCAAUGUGUCCAUUGUCCUAUAAAACAAAAUACAAAAAAAAAUGGACAUGCUGACGUGUCCGACACAUGUCCAAGAGUGUCCGAGAAGUGUCGGUGUCAGAAAUGAUGACUAAUUUAAAGUGUCCACACUUCUUAGGAAUUCAGAAUAAAACUGAUCAUUACCAACUUGUAAAGCUAAGUAGCCAAACAAAUAAGAAGAAAAGAAAGAAAAAAAAUAAUUUUAGAAAAACUCCGAUGUCCAUUUUAUGUGCCUGCAAAAAGAGGAACCAAAGGGAAUCCAAAGAUCUAAAAACAUCUUACUUUCUCCAUGAGCAAGGACCGAAGAAA